GGGCGGUUGGUCUAGUGGUAUGAUUCUCGCUUAGGGUUCACUCUAAACACACAUAUAUGCGAGAGGUCCCGGGUUCAAUCCCCGGAUCGCCCC